rnacentral:rRNA from 1 species
GACAGAGGAUGCAAGCGUUAUCCGGAAUGAUUGGGCGUAAAGCGUCUGUAGGUGGCUUUUUAAGUCUGCCGUCAAAUCCCAGGGCUUAACCCUGGACAGGCGGUGGAAACUACCAAGCUGGAGUACGGUAGGGGCAGGGGGAAUUUCCGGUGGAGCGGUGAAAUGCGUAGAUAUCAGGAGGAAUACCGAUGGCGAAGGCAGGUCUCUGGGCUGACACUGACGCUCAUGCACGAAAGCGUGGGGAGCAAACAGG